UACGUAGGUGGCAAGCGUUGUCCGGAAUUAUUGGGCGUAAGCGCGCGCAGGCGGUCCUUUAAGUCUGAUGUGAAAGCCCCACGGCUCAACCGUGGAGGGUCAUUGGAAACUGGGGGACUUGAGUGCAGAAGAGGAAAGCGGAAUUCCGACGUGUAGCGGUGAAAUGCGUAGAGAUGUGGAGGAACACCAGUGGCGAAGGCGG
rnacentral:rRNA from 1 species